UUUCCAAGUAUCGGUGCCGAAGUGGUGGCUU
rnacentral:piRNA from 1 species